rfam:Acidobacteria bacterium 13_1_20CM_2_60_10 13_1_20cm_2_scaffold_2270, whole genome shotgun sequence.
GGAGAGGUGUCUGAGCGGUUGAAAGAGCUCGCCUCGAAAGCGAGUGUAGGGGGAACCCUACCGUGGGUUCGAAUCCCACCCUCUCCG